UACAGAGGGGGCAAGCGUUGUUCGGAAUUACUGGGCGUAAAGGGCGCGUAGGCGGCCUGUUAAGUCGAACGUGAAAUCCCCGGGCUCAACCCGGGGACUGCGUCCGAUACUGGCAGGCUUGAAUCCGGGAGAGGGAUGCGGAAUUCCAGGUGUAGCGGUGAAAUGCGUAGAUAUCUGGAGGAAUACCGGUGGCGAAGGCGGCAUCCUGGACCGACAUUGACGCUGAACGGCGAAAGCUAGGGGAGCAAACGGG
rnacentral:rRNA from 1 species